rnacentral:tRNA from 1 species
GGGACAUAUGUCUAUUGAAUAAAAAUGGACUCUUAAUCCGUUGGUUCAAGGUUCAAGUCCUUGGUGGCCUACCA